rnacentral:rRNA from 1 species
UACGUAGGGGGCAAGGCGUUGUCCGGAUUUAUUGGGCGUAAAGAGCGUGUAGGCGGCCAGGUAGGUCCGCUGUGAAAACUCGAGGCUCAACCUCGAGAUGUCGGCGGAAACCAUCUGGCUAGAGUCCGGAAGAGGAGAGUGGAAUUCCUGGUGUAGCGGUGAAAUGCGCAGAUAUCAGGAAGAACACCCGUGGCGAAGGCGGCUCUCUGGGACGGUACUGACGCUGAGACGCGAAAGCGUGGGGAGCGAACAGG